AUUGCACGCUGGCGGCAGGCCUAACACAUGCAAGUCGAGCGGAGCGGCGGACGGGUGAGUCAUGCCUAGGAAUCUGCCUGGUAGUGGGGGAUAACGUCCGGAAACGGGCGCUAAUACCGCAUACUAUCAGAUGAGCCUAGGUCGGAUUAGCUAGUUGGUGGGGUAAAGGCCUACCAAGGCGACGAUCCGUAACUGGUCUGACAGGAUGAUCAGUCACACUGGAACUGAGAAACGGUCCAGACUCCUACGGUAGUCAGCAGUUGUGAAUAUUGGACAAUGGGCGAAAGCCUGAUCCAGCCAUGCCGCGUGUGUGAAGAAGGUCUUCUGAUUUUAAAGCACUUUAAGUUGGGAGGCGUUACCAACAGAAUAAGCACCGGCUAACUUCGUGCCAGCCGCCGCGGUAAUUC
rnacentral:rRNA from 1 species